rnacentral:lncRNA from 1 species
UCUAAUAAUUUUCUCAUUGUUUCUAAAUGAAUGUUCUUUUCAUUUAUGAAUUUUUCAGUUUCUAAUAAUUUUCUCAUUGGUUUAGUCUUAAUAUUUGUAUUCCUCUCUUCAAACUUUCUUUAUUAUUUAAUUUCCAAAGAAAAAAAUCUAAAAGAAAAAGUAAGAAAAACAUUAUAGUUAGAAAAUAAUGAUAUUUAAUGAGUUUAAUAUAAUUUUAUCCUACCUACAAAUUUUGGGUUCAACAAUUAGUUUGAGAAUUUUUAAAAAAUUAUUUGCAGCGAGAUAAAAUUUUGUUUUCUUUAUUUUCCACUAUGUUGUAUCUUAAUUAAGUUAUUAUGUUUGUUGCAAAAAUUUUGUUUUGACUUAGAGGAUUACUUCAUAAAUUCAGAUUAAUUUGAUGAUAAAAAAAUUUAUAUUUUGCAAGCAAAAUAAAAUUGAAGAGAGAGAGAAAAUAUAAAUGGCUUAAUUCUAUUUAUAUUUAUCUUUAAAUGUAAUUGUAAUAUAACAGGGGUUUUAUGAGAUUAAUGAAGGGGUGCCAAUAGUUCAACUCUUAAUAAUAAAAUCUUAUAAUAAUAAUAAAUUUAAAUAAUACUAAUUUAAUUGUAAUAUUAAUAUAAAAUCAUACUAUUUUCUAUAAUACAGUCCAUAUUACACUAAACAUAGUAUUGUAUUACAACUUAAUGCAAUGCAUCUCAAUGCAAUAUAUUAUAAUGCAAUAUGAUUAAUGCAAUACAAUGUGUUAGGUUCUUCAUGUAUCCGUGUGUAACCACUGGCCCAAUGGUGGUGCACCGAAGACGAUCAUAAAAUUUAAUACUUCUAACCUCAUAAUAUUAGAGUCAUAAACUUUAUAUAAAAUUAUCUACCAUUACUGUAAUGAUUAGAUAAAGUACCCCAUAAUUCAUAUGAUUUAUCUUAACCAAUGCAAUUAUGUCAUUCAUUUGAAAUAAAUAAAUUUACAUAAAAUUGUGAUCCAUCAUUCCUCUUUCUAACUACCCCAUGUGCCUGACUACCUUCCGACCCCUUUGACCCAAACCACAAAAUUUAAGUAAUCAUAAACAAAGUCGGUAAUCGGUAUUCAACAUUUUAUCAAUUUCAUUUUAAGAUUUUUGCAGAUUUUAUAUGAUCUCAAUCUUCACAGAACACAAUGAUAUUGAUUCCAACUAAUUAUGCUCGUACGAAAUUUUGAUUUUUCACAAAUUUAGCUGCAAUAUUUCGAAACGAAGUUUGAUUAUUUCCUUAAUUAAUUACAAUGAAUAGCGAAAAUUCUAUAUUAAGCACCAAAAUUCAAGUUUUAAAAUAUGAACAGUAUCGGGAGAGGCUUAACUAUAUGAUUAUAAAUCUUCGAACUUUCCCUCCCCAUCGAUUACUUGUAUUAAUUUCUUUUGAAAAAUAAAAUAAAAAUUAUAGCAGACAAUAAAUCCUAAAAGAUAAGUAGAGAUGGCCAACAAGCUGGGCAACAUGAGGCAUGGUAUAGAAACGGCACGUGACUUUAGAGUCUGGCAUGAUUUGAGAAGAGUCAAGGUACGACUUAGGGGCUGUUUUUUUUCUCUUUUUUUUUUUUACUUAAUGAUUUAAUUGACUAAAUUUUAAUAAGUUAUGUCAUUAUGUCCAUUUAUUUUUUUAACUUAAUUA